GACGAACGCUGGCGGCGUGCUUAACACAUGCAAGUCGUACGGUAAGGCCCUUUCGGGGGUCCACGAGUGGCGAACGGGUGAGUAACACGUGAGUAACCUGCCCACAACUUUGGGAUAACGCUAGGAAACUGGUGCUAAUACUGGAUAUGUGCCCCUGCUGCAUGGUGGGGGUUGGAAAGCUCCGGCGGUUGUGGAUGGACUCGCGGCCUAUCAGCUUGUUGGUGGGGUAGUGGCCUACCAAGGCGGCGACGGGUAGCCGGCCUGAGAGGGUGACCGGCCACAUUGGGACUGAGAUACGGCCCAGACUCCUACGGGAGGCAGCAGUGGGGAAUAUUGCACAAUGGGCGCAAGCCUGAUGCAGCAACGCCGCGUGCGGGAUGACGGCCUUCGGGUUGUAAACCGCUUUCAGCAGGGACGAAGCUUUUUGUGACGGUACCUGCAGAAGAAGCACCGGCUAACUACGUG
rnacentral:rRNA from 1 species